rnacentral:rRNA from 1 species
GAUGAACGCUGGCGGCGUGCCUAAUACAUGCAAGUCGAGCGAACAGACGAGGAGCUUGCUCCUCUGACGUUAGUGGCGGACGGGUGAGUAACACGUGGAUAACCUACCUAUAAGACUGGGAUAACUUCGGGAAACCGGAGCUAAUACCGGAUAAUAUAUUGAACCGCAUGGUUCAAUAGUGAAAGACGGUUUUGCUGUCACUUAUAGAUGGAUCCGCGCCGCAUUAGCUAGUUGGUAAGGUAACGGCUUACCAAGGCAACGAUGCGUAGCCGACCUGAGAGGGUGAUCGGCCACACUGGAACUGAGACACGGUCCAGACUCCUACGGGAGGCAGCAGUAGGGAAUCUUCCGCAAUGGGCGAAAGCCUGACGGAGCAACGCCGCGUGAGUGAUGAAGGUCUUCGGAUCGUAAAACUCUGUUAUUAGGGAAGAACAAAUGUGUAGGUAACUAUGCACGUCUUGACGGUACCUAAUCAGAAAGCCACGGCUAACUACGUG